rnacentral:rRNA from 1 species
UAGGGAAUAUUGCACAAUGGGGGAAACCCUGAUGCAGCGACGCCGCGUGAGCGAAGAAGUAUUUCGGUAUGUAAAGCUCUAUCAGCAGGGAAGAAAAUGACGGUACCUGACUAAGAAGCCCCGGCUAACUACGUGCCAGCAGCCGCGGUAAUACGUAGGGGGCAAGCGUUAUCCGGAUUUACUGGGUGUAAAGGGAGCGUAGACGGAUGUGCAAGUCUGAAGUGAAAGCCCGGGGCUCAACCCCGGGACUGCUUUGGAAACUGUGUAUCUAGAGUGCCGGAGAGGUAAGCGGAAUUCCCAGUGUAGCGGUGAAAUGCGUAGAUAUUGGGAGGAACACCAGUGGCGAAGGCGGCUUACUGGACGGUAACUGACGUUGAGGCUCGAAAGCGUGGGGAGCAAACAGGAUUAGAUACC